UUUGUGUCCCCCCCGCGCGCGGUAAUAUGUAGGGCGCAAGCGUUAAUGGGAAUUAGUGGGUGUAAAGCGUGUGCAGGCGGUUUGGAAUGAAAGAUGUGAAAUCCCAGGUCUUAACCUUGGGGUUGCAUUUUUAACUACCGGGCUAGAGUGUGUCAGAGGGAGGUGGAAUUCCGCGUGUAGCAGUGAAAUGCGUAGAUAUGGGGAGGCACCACGAUGGAGAAGGCAGCUUCGUUGGAUAACAGUGACGGUCAUGCGAGAAAGCGUGGGGAGCACACAGGAUUAGAUCCCGUGGUAGUCCACGCCAUAAAAGAAGUCAAAUAGGUGUUGGGGCUUUCGGGCCUUGGUAGCGCAGCUAACGCGUGAAGCUGUCCGCCUGGGGAGUACGGUCGCAAGAUUAAAACUCAAAGGAAUUGACGGGGACCCGCACAAGCGGUGGAUGAUGUGGAUUAAUUCGAUGCAACGCGAAAAACCUUACCUACAUCUUGACAUGUCUGGAAUCCCGAAGAGAUUUGGGAGUCUCGCAAGAGAACCGGAACACAGGUGGUGCAUGGCUGUCGUCAGCUCGGUCGAAGAU
rnacentral:rRNA from 1 species